UUGGGGGCACCCUAACCUCUCCGAGCCUCAAUUUCCCCAUGUUGGAGGUUCCACCGAGGUUCCACCGAGGCUGGAAGCCGUAGAAGCACGUAGGAAGCUACAGGGUCCCGCAUCAGAACCAAUUUCCGGCUUUGUGCUCCAUGACUUCGCAGGAAGAAGAGCUGGAUGAUGCUUGGAAGGUUCCAGAAGACAUCAUGGGGAGGCACCUCAGGACAGAAAAGUGAAUUAUCCACGAGGAUUCAGUGGCUGCGCUCCUGAUCAAAGGCUGGUGUUGGGAAAGUCUCUGAAGUCAGAAUUGUGAAACGGGACUGAAGGCGCUGACAAUUCUGCAGCAGCACAGACUCUGGGGAGAAGAUGAGGAAACUGAUGCUCAGUGAGAUUACCUUUGCCCAAGUUCUGGAAAGUGAUGGAGGCAGCUUUCAGAUGCAGGCUCUUAAUUCUCCGACCAGAGAUUGAACCUGGGUCACGGCAGUGCAAACGCUGAGACCUAACCACUGGACCGCCAGGGAGCUCCCAUUAACUCAUUUAAUCUUGCCAACAGCCCUGAGCCAUGGGUGCAGAUUGCAAAA